AACGAACGCUGGCGGCAGGCUUAACACAUGCAAGUCGAACGCCCCGCAAGGGGAGUGGCAGACGGGUGAGUAACGCGUGGGAAUCUACCCAUCUCUACGGAACAACUCCGGGAAACUGGAGCUAAUACCGUAUACGCCCUUAGGGGGAAAGAUUUAUCGGGGAUGGAUGAGCCCGCGUUGGAUUAGCUAGUUGGUGGGGUAAAGGCCUACCAAGGCGACGAUCCAUAGCUGGUCUGAGAGGAUGAUCAGCCUCAUUGGGACUGAGACACGGCCCAAACUCCUGCGGGAGGCAGCAGUGGGGAAUAUUGGACAAUGGGCGCAAGCCUGAUCCAGCCAUGCCGCGUGAGUGAUGAAGGCCUUAGGGUUGUAAAGCUCUUUCACCGAUGAAGAUAAUGACGGUAGUCGGAGAAGAAGCCCCGGCUAACUUCGUGCCAGCAGCCGCGGUAA
rnacentral:rRNA from 1 species